AGUUAGUGUUUUUAGUCAAAGUUAGUUGUAAUUGACUUGUUUUGGACGCAAUUGGUAGAAAACUAUUGAUUUUGGUAAAAGUUAGUGUUUUUGGUCAAAGUUAGUUGUAAAUGACUUGUUUUGGACGCAAUUGGUAGAAAACUAUUGAUUUUGGUAAAAGUUGGUGUUUUUGGUAAAAAUUAGUGUUUUUGGUCAAAGUUAGUUGUAAAUGACUUGUUUUGGACGCAGUUGGUAGAAAACUAUUGAUUUUGGUAAAAGUUAGUGUUUUUGGUAAAAAGUUGGUGUUUUUGGUCAAAGUUAGUUGUAAAUGACUUGUUUUGGACGCAAUUGGUAGAAAACUAUUGAUUUUGGUAAAAGUUAGUGUUUUUGGUAAAAGUUAGUUGUAAAUGACUUGUUUUGGACGCAAUUGGUAGAAAACUAUUGAUUUUGGUAAA